rnacentral:rRNA from 1 species
GAUGAACGCUGGCGGCGUGCCUAAUACAUUCAAGUCGAGCGAAGCCGGGACGGGUGAGUAAUACGUGGAUAACCUCCUAUAAGACUGUGAUAACUUCUGGAAACCGGAGCUCUACCGGAUUCUUAUACAUGGAUCCGCUCUGCAUUAGCUAGUUGGUAAGGUAAAGGAGUACCAAGUCAACGAUGCAUAGCCGACCUGAUAGUGUGAUCGGCCAAACUGGAACUGAGACACGGUCCAGACUCCUACGGGAGGCAGCAGUAGGGAAUCGGCCGCAAUGGGCGAAAGCCUGACGGAGCAACGCCGCGUGAGUGAUGAAGGUCUUCGGAUCGUAAAACUCUGUUAUUAGGGAAGCGGUACCUAAUCAGAAAGCCACGGCUACCUACGUGCCAGCAGCCGCGGUAAUAC